UGGCACAGUGGUAAAGCACUUGGCUGUUAACCAGAAGGCUGGUGGUUUGAAUCCACC
rnacentral:tRNA from 1 species